rnacentral:rRNA from 1 species
UACGUAGGGUGCGAGCGUUGUCCGGAAUUAUUGGGCGUAAAGAGCUCGUAGGCGGUUUGUCACGUCUGCUGUGAAAUCCCGAGGCUCAACCUCGGGCCUGCAGUGGGUACGGGCAGACUGGAGUGCGGUAGGGGGAGAAUGGAAUUCCUGGUGUAGCGGUGGAAUGCGCAGAUAUCAGGAGGAACACCGAUGGCGAAGGCGGCAUCCUGGACCAAUUCUGACACUGAGGAGCGAAAGCCAGGGGAGCAAACAGG